rnacentral:lncRNA from 1 species
GCCAGAUGCUGAGCUGCAGAACCGCCCGGCUCUGGGUGCGCGACCUGUGAAGCAGACAGCUGUCUUGGACCAGGGCUGCGGGCCCGCGGGGCCUAAAGUGGUUUGCAGAAUUAAAGGUGGGCCUGCAUUUGUGCGGAAAGAAGGUAUGUGAAGGAAAGCUAAGAUAAUUCAGUGGAUUCUUCACUGGGAAAAAGGCCAGAUUCCAGUUUAUAAACGGAGGCUUGCUGUUGCCAGGCUGGAAUGCAAUGAC